rnacentral:rRNA from 1 species
GAUUAAGUUAUUAAGGGCGCACGGUGGAUGCCUUGGCACUAGAAGCCGAUGAAGGACGUUACUAACGACGAUAUGCUUUGGGGAGCUGUAAGUAAGCUUUGAUCCAGAGAUUUCCGAAUGGGGAAACCCAGCAUGAGUUAUGUCAUGUUAUCGAUAUGUGAAUACAUAGCAUAUCAGAAGGCACACCCG